rnacentral:rRNA from 1 species
GUAGGUGGCAAGCGUUGUCCGGAAUUAUUGGGCGUAAAGCGCGCGCAGGCGGGGUCCUUUAAGUCUGAUGUGAAAGCCCACGGGCUCAACCGUGGAGGGUCAUUGGAAACUGGGGGGACUUGAGUACAGAAGAGGAAAGCGGAAUUCCAAGUGUAGCGGUGAAAUGCGUAGAGAUUUGGAGGAACACCAGUGGCGAAGGCGGCUUUCUGGUCUGUAACUGACGCUGAGGCGCAAAAGCGUGGGGAGCAAACAGGAUUAGAUACCCUGGUAGUCCACGCCGUAAACGAUGAGUGCUAAGUGUUAGGGGGUUUCCGCCCCUUAGUGCUGCAGCUAACGCAUUAAGCACUCCGCCUGGGGAGUACGGCCGCAAAGGCUG